ACCUAUAAGCCAACAAAUCAAACAUCAUUAGGAUUAAAGCCUCUAAUUAUAACCCAUUAUAAUAACACAUAGUCGUGGUCUCAUGGACAAGUGCCAUUACCUAUUUUGUUGUAUUACUAUACGAUAAACGAGGGGGACUUCAUCUAUUAAACUGGCUUUUUCCUUGCACUCCUUUCAUUUUCUGAAUGUAGGAAUUGAUGGGCA
rnacentral:lncRNA from 1 species